GACGAACGCUGGCGGCGUGCUUAACACAUGCAAGUCGAACGGAAAGGCCCUGCUUUUGUGGGGUGCUCGAGUGGCACACGGGUGAGUAACACGGGAAUAACCUGCCCUUGGCUUUGGGAUAACUUCAGUAAACUGGGGCUAAUACCGGAUAGGAGCUCCUGCUGCAGGGUGGGGGUUGGAAAGUUUCGGCGGUUGGGGAUGGACUCGCGGCUUAUCAGCUUGGUGGUGGGGUAGUGGCUUACCAAGGCUUUGACGGGUAGCCGGCCUGAGAGGGGGACCGGCCACAUUGGGACUGAGGUACGGCGCAGUGUCCUACGGGAGGCAGCAGGGGGGAGUAUGGCACAAUGGGCGGACGCCUGAUGCAGCAACGCCGCGUGCGGGAUGCCGUCCUUCGGGUUGUAAACCGCUUUCGCCUGUGACGAAGCGUGAGUGACGGUAAUGGGUAAAGAAGCACCGGCUAACUACGUG
rnacentral:rRNA from 1 species